rnacentral:rRNA from 1 species
GUUGAAGGUUGGGUAACACUAACUGGAGGACCGAACCGACUAAUGUUGAAAAAUUAGCGGAUGACCUGUGGCUGGGGGUGAAAGGCCAAUCAAACCGGGAGAUAGCUGGUUCUCCCCGAAAGCUAUUUAGGUAGCGCCUCGUGAAUUCAUCUCCGGGGGUAGAGCACUGUUUCGGCUAGGGGGCCAUCCCGGCUUACCAACCCGAUGCAAACUGCGAAUACCGGAGAAUGUUAUCACGGGAGACACACGGCGGGUGCUAACGUCCGUCGUGAAGAGGGAAACAACCCAGACCGCCAGCUAAGGUCCCAAAGUCAUGGUUAAGUGGGAAACGAUGUGGGAAGGCCCAGACAGCCAGGAUGUUGGCUUAGAAGCAGCCAUCAUUUAAAGAAAGCGUAAUAGCUCACUGGUCGAGUCGGCCUGCGCGGAAGAUGUAACGGGGCUAAACCAUGCA